GGCUGGGUGGAAACAGCUCCCACACUCUGCUGGUUUCACCUGCAGGAGCAGCACAAUCCAUGGGAAAGCAGGGAAAUGAGGAGGCACGUGGAGCUGGAUUGUUCCCAGUUGAGGAGAAGGAAAUUUCUGGAGCAGCAAAGGAGCAGCAAAAAUCACGGGAAGGCAGGGAAAUGAGGAGGCACGUGGAGCUGGAGCUGGAUUGUUCCAAGGUGAAACUUCUGGAGCAGCAAAGGCACAGAGAGUGGGGAAAAGCUUCCAGGAUGCAAAACAACCCCUGAGGGUGUGAAUUCCAGUGGGGAAUUUUUCAGAGGAAAGCCUGGAGCAG